rnacentral:rRNA from 1 species
AGAGUUUGAUCCUGGCUCAGGACGAACGCUGGCGGCACGCUUAACACAUGCAAGUCGAACGGAGAUAAUUUGAGUUUACUUGGAUUAUCUUAGUGGCGGACGGGUGAGUAACACGUGAGCAACCUGCCUUUGAGAGAGGGAUAGCUUCUGGAAACGGAUGGUAAUACCUCAUGACAUAAUUGAAGGGCAUCCUUUGAUUAUCAAAGAUUUAUCACUCAAAGAUGGGCUCGCGUCUGAUUAGAUAGUUGGUGAGGUAACGGCUCACCAAGUCGACGAUCAGUAGCCGGACUGAGAGGUUGAACGGCCACAUUGGGACUGAGACGCGGCCCAGACUCCUACGGGAGGCAGCAGUGGGGAAUCUUGCGCAAUGGGCGAAAGCCUGACGCAGCGACACCGCGUGAGGGAUGAAGGUCUUCGGAUUGUAAACCUUUGUCAGUGGGGACGAGAACGGACGGUACCUACUGAGGAAGCAUCGGCUUACUACGUGCCAGCAGCCGCGGUAAUACGUAGGAUGCAAGCGUUGUCCGGAUUUAUUGGGCGUAAAGCGUCCGCAGCCGGUUUUGUAAGUCUAGAAUAAAAGCCUGGGGCUCAACCCCAGUUCGUUCUAGAAACUGCAAGGCUAGAGUGUGGUAGAGGCAAAUGGAAUUUCUAGUGUAGCGGUAAAAUGCGUAGAUAUUAGAAGGAACACCAGUGGCGAAGGCGAUUUGCUGGGCCACCACUGACGGUCAGGGACGAAAGCGUGGGGAGCAAAUAGGAUUAGAUACCCUAGUAGUCCACGCCGUAAACGAUGAGCACUAAGUGUCGGGCAACCGGUGCUGAAGUUAACACAUUAAGUGCUCCGCCUGAGUAGUACGGUCGCAAGGCUGAAACUCAAAGGAAUUGACGGGCACCCGCACAAGCGGUGGAGCAUGCUGUUUAAUUCGAAAAUACGCGAAGAACCUUACCUAGACUUGACAUCCCUGGCGAAGCUUUAGAAAUAAAGUGGAGGUUAACCGGGUGACAGGUGGUGCAUGGUUGUCGUCAGCUCGUGUCGUGAGAUGUUUGGUUAAGUCCAACAACGAGCGCAACCCUCGUCUUUAGUUGCUAACAUUAAGUUGAGAACUCUAAAGAUACUGCCGGUGCAAGCCGGAGGAAGGUGGGGAUGACGUCAAAUCAUCAUGCCCCUUAUGUCCAGGGCUACACACGUACUACAAUGGCCGAUAACAAAGUGCAGCGAAGCCGCGAGGUGGAGCGAAUCACAAAACUCGGUCUCAGUUCAGAUUGCAGGCUGCAACUCGCCUGCAUGAAGGUGGAAUUGCUAGUAAUCGCGAAUCAGAAUGUCGCGGUGAAUACGUUCCCGGGCCUUGCACUCACCGCCCGUCA